UUUGGUCAAGCUACUAAGGGCAGAUGGCGGAUGCCUUGGCGCCAGGAGGCGAUGAAGGACGUAGGCAGCUGCGAUAAGCCACGGGGAGCCGCUAACCAGGCUUUGAUCCGUGGAUUUCCGAAUGGGGAAACCCGGCCGGGGUCAUGCCCGGUCGUCCCGCACUGAAUCCAUAGGUGCGUGGAUGCCAACCCGGGGAACUGAAACAUCUCAGUACCCGGAGGAGAGGAAAUCAACCGAGACUCCCCUAGUAGCGGCGAGCGAACGGGGACUAGCCCAAACCGAGGGGAAGCAAUUCCUCUCGGGGUUGUGGGACUCCGACAUGGGAUCGGAUCAGAUAGCGGAACGGUCUGGAAAGGCCGGCCACAGAGGGUGAUGGCCCCGUACGCGAAAUCUGAGAUGACCCUAGGAUGUUCCCGAGUACCGCGAGGCACGAGAAACCUCGUGGGAAUCUGGGGGGACCACCCUCCAAGGCUAAGUACUACCUGGCGACCGAUAGUGAACCAGUACCGUGAGGGAAAGGUGAAAAGCACCCCGGUGAGGGGAGUGAAAUAGACCUGAAACCGUCUGCCUACAUACAGUGGGAGCUCUAUGCCGUCGCAAGACGGAAUGAGUGACUGCGUACCUUUUGUUUAACGGGUCCGCGAGUUACUCCUCGGCAGCAAGGUUAAGCCGUGAGGUGUAGCCGAAGCGAAAGCGAGUCCGAACAGGGCGUCUAGUUGCCGGGGGUAGACCCGAAACCAGGUGAUCUAGCCAUGGCCAGGUUGAAGCUCGGGUAAAACCGAGUGGAGGACCGAACCGUAGUAGGUUGAAAACUACCCGGAUGAGCUGUGGCUAGGGGUGAAAGGCCAAUCAAACCUGGAGAUAGCUGGUUCUCCCCGAAAUAUAUUGAGGUAUAGCCUCGUGUGAUCACUGCCGGAGGUAGAGCACUGGAUGGGCUAGGGGUCCUACCAGAUUACCGAACCCAACCAAACUCCGAAUGCCGGCAAGUGCAGCACGGGAGUCAGACUGCGGGUGAUAAGAUCCGCGGUCGAGAGGGAAACAGCCCAGACCGCCGGCUAAGGUCCCCAAGUUCACGCUAAGUGGGAAAGGAAGUGAGAGCGCUUAGACAACCAGGAGGUUGGCUUAGAAGCAGCCACCCUUUAAACAGUGCGUAAUAGCUGACUGGUCUAGUGCUCUUGCGCCGAAAAUGUAACGGGGCUCAAGCGUGGCACCGAAGCCGCGGGUUCGAAAUACCUUCGGGUGUUUCGUCCGGUAGGGGAGCGUUCCAGUUGCCUGCGAAGCUCGACGGUAACGACGGGUGGAGGCCCUGGAAGUGCCUAUGCGGACACGAGUAGCGAUAAAACAGGUGAGAAACCUGUUCGCCGUAAGCCUAAGGGUUCCUGAGUAAAGCUAAUCUUCUCAGGGUUAGUCGGCCCCUAAGCCGAGGCCGAAAGGCGUAGGUGAUGGGAAACGGGUCAAUAUUCCCGUACCACCAGGUGGGCGUUCGACCGAAGGGGGGACGGAGAAGGGUAGCUGAUCCGGGUGUUUGGACGUCCCGGUGCAAGCCUGUAGGCGGGAGACGUAGGCAAAUCCGCGUCUCCGUAACGCCGAGAGGUGAUGCCGAGAGCCGUAAGGCUCACAAAGUCAGUAAUCCCAUGCUUCCUAGAAAAGCCUCGUAGGGAGUUCGCCUGGUGACCGUACCGCAAACCGACUCAGGUAGGUGGGCAGAAUAUGCCAAGGCGCUUGAGAGAACCCUGGUCAAGGAACUCGGCAAAUUGGCACCGUAACUUCGGGAGAAGGUGCGCCCCGGCUGGUGAAUGGACUUGCUUCACGAGCUGGCUGGGGUUGCAGUGAACUGGGGGUAGCGACUGUUUACUAAAAACACAGGACUCUGCGAACUCGUCAAGAGGACGUAUAGGGUCUGACGCCUGCCCGGUGCCGGAAGGUUAAGGGGAACCGUUAGCCGCAAGGCGAAGCGGUGAACCGAAGCCCCGGUAAACGGCGGCCGUAACUAUAACGGUCCUAAGGUAGCGAAAUUCCUUGUCGGGUAAGUUCCGACCUGCACGAAUGGCGUAACGCGGCGACCCGCAGCAGGACGGAAAGACCCCGUGCACCUUUACUACAACUUCGCAGUGAUCGUCGGUUCAGUCUGUGUAGGAUAGGUGGGAGGCUUUGAAGCCGGGACGCUAGUUUCGGUGGAGCCAACGUUGAAAUACCACCCUGAUUGUGCUGCCGAUCUAACCUGGGCCCGUGAUCCGGGUCGGGGACACUGCGUGGUGGGUAGUUUGACUGGGGCGGUCGCCUCCCAAAGAGUAACGGAGGCGUGCAAAGGUUCCCUCAGGCUGAUUGGAAACCAGCCGUAGAGUGCAAAGGCAUAAGGGAGCUUGACUGCGAGACCUACAAGUCGAGCAGGUGCGAAAGCAGGUCUUAGUGAUCCGGUGGUUCCGUGUGGAAGGGCCAUCGCUCAUCGGAUAAAAGGUACGCCGGGGAUAACAGGCUGAUCUCCCCCAAGAGUUCACAUCGACGGGGAGGUUUGGCACCUCGAUGUCGGCUCGUCACAUCCUGGGGCUGGAGCAGGUCCCAAGGGUUCGGCUGUUCGCCGAUUAAAGUGGCACGCGAGCUGGGUUUAGAACGUCGUGAGACAGUUCGGUCCCUAUCCGCUGCGGGCGCAGGAGAUUUGAGGGGAGCUGUCCCUAGUACGAGAGGACCGGGACGGAGGCACCUCUGGUGUACCGGUUGUUCCGCCAGGAGCACCGCCGGGUAGCCAUGUGCCGAUGGGAUAACCGCUGAAAGCAUCUAAGUGGGAAGCCCACCCCAAGAUGAGAUCUCCCCGGGACUUCGGUCCCCUGAAGGGCCGUUCGAGACGAGGACGUGAUAGGCCGGAGGUGGAAGCGCAGCGAUGCGUGGAGCUGACCGGUACUAAUCGCCCGUGCGGCUUGACCAC
rnacentral:rRNA from 1 species